rnacentral:tRNA from 1 species
UAAAUUUUAGUUUAAUAAAAAUAAUUCAUUUACAAUGAGGAGAUUUUAAAGGAAAUUAAAAAAUUUUAU